UACAGAGGUGGCAAGCGUUGUUCGGAAUUACUGGGCGUAAAGAGCGUGUAGGCGGCCAGGUAGGUCCGCUGUGAAAACUCGAGGCUCAACCUCGAGAUGUCGGCGGAAACCAUCUGGCUAGAGUCCGGAAGAGGAGAGUGGAAUUCCUGGUGUAGCGGUGAAAUGCGCAGAUAUCAGGAAGAACACCCGUGGCGAAAGCGGCUCUCUGGAACGGUACUGACGCUGAGACGCGAAAGCGUGGGGAGCGAACAGG
rnacentral:rRNA from 1 species